AAUCAACAAAAAAUAUUCAGAUUAUCAGAUCAAAGAUUCGAGUCACUUUAGACUCGUUACUUUUAGACCAAUCAUGUGACUCCAAAUGGCGUUCGUCGUGCGAGGAAAAGUCAGCGUGGUCAUGCUAUCAUGUGACGCUGCCUACAUAAAACACACUGACUGUUGGGCCGUUGAAUGGGGGAGGACAGUUUCCACGUGCUCUUCGCUUCAUGGUGGUUGUCAAGACGUUUGACCUCAGUUGAACAGCUCCGGGUAAACAAGUCAUCGCAAAUGUCCCCUCCCUCAGUUCCAAACAGCUUGCAUCCCAUCAGCGCGCAUGUUUUGCCAGGACAGAUGACAGGAAAACAGUCUCAGCUCAUGUUCAUAAUAAGGUAGGUGUAAGAGGACUUUGCCGUUGACUUUUCCUUGUGGUCCUUCUUAUACUUCAUGCGACGGUUUUGGAACCAGAUUUUAAUCUGCCGGUCGGUGAGCUUCAGCAGCUCAGCCAUUUCAAGUCUCCGGUUGCGGCACAGCCUCACUUGUGGAUUUCCAGAGGCCCAUGACUGAAGGUCGCAGCUCUAGUUUUUGAUCAGCGGAGGACCAGCGGAAAUUAUUAACAUGCUACUUCAUAAUAACAUAUCACAUAACAUUACAUAAAAAUCUGUUUUUCUGUAUUGUUUAAAUGUCGUAACAUAUGACAAUAAAUGGAAUUUUAAAAA
rnacentral:lncRNA from 1 species